rnacentral:piRNA from 1 species
UACUGAAAGCUUUGACUAACAUUGGCGGA